CUGGCAGACGUGGCCAGGGAUGGGGGUGGACCACGGUGGAGGUUAGCCUAGCAAGAAUAUACGUUGGCGACGCUGACACUGGCUCACCAGCAAAGCAAGGAAGAGGUGGACAGAGGUCAAGGAAGACGAGAGUGAGCGAGGAACACCUGGAAAUGAGUUCUGGAGAAAGAAAUGAAACUGACGGACGCUCACUCAUCUAUAACCUUCCGUCAAAGGGCUUAAGCGGAAGAGGCAGAGGCUUGACCGUCACUGUCAUCAGGCAACCCUGGGGGCCAACCAUCCCGAGUCUAGUGUAAUCUACCCAAAGCACGUGUUGGGGGUUUCUCCGUAUAGCUGCCCUGGGAGUCCUGGAACUUGUUUUGUAGACCAGGCUGGUUUGAAUUCACAGAGAACCACCUGCCUCUGCCUCCAGAGUGCUGGGAUUAAAAGUGUAUGCCACCACGCCCAGCUUGAUUCAUAUUCUUGACCAUUCUUGCACUCACCUUGAGC